rnacentral:lncRNA from 1 species
UUUCUUUUUGAUUCAUGCAAAGAUGAUACAAAAUCUGGAAGCACGUGUAUGCGCCGAUACAAUCUCACAGAUUCUUAUGUAGUUCGGGAAUACCCGAACGUGAAAUUUUGGAUACCCAAAUUGUCGGGUUGGUUUUUUUCUUUUUGGGGUAAAUUUUGGGUAGCUAUUUUGAAAAUCCGAAAUUUCUAAAACCCGAAUUAUCCGAUCCGAAAUUUUCAGGUUAUCCGAAUGCCCAGAGCUAGCUAUAGCACCUGACCGAGACCGAUCAAUCAUCGUACUACACGAGUCGAGUAGGAGGGUGUGUGCUCGAGACUCCUUACAUGGGCCUGCACCCGGCACUAAUCAACGUUGUCUCUGGCCGGCCGUUCCAUCAUCCGGCCGUGCCUUUUGCCUUUCUCUUAUGGCGGUGGUCAGGGCAUGAUCGCCUCCUUUUCUUCGUCAACUCCUGCGUCCUGGCGUUCUCCCGUUCUUCUCCCC